rnacentral:rRNA from 1 species
GGAAUAUUGGACAAUGGUCGAAAGACUGAUCCAGCCAUGCCGCGUGCAGGAUGAAGGUGCUCUGCAUUGUAAACUGCUUUUAUUCGGGAAUAAACCCCUUCACGUGUGGAGGGCUGAAUGUACCGAAAGAAUAAGGGUCGGCUAACUUCGUGCCAGCAGCCGCGGUAAGACGAAGGACCCAAGCGUUAUCCGGAUUUAUUGGGUUUAAAGGGUGCGUAGGCGGAUUGUUAAGUCAGUGGUGAAAGCCGACAGCUCAACUGUCGAAUUGCCAUUGAUACUGACGAUCUUGAGUGCGGUUGAGGUGGGCGGAGUGUAUCAUGUAGCGGUGAAAUGCUUAGAUAUGAUACAGAACACCGAUUGCGAAGGCAGCUCACUAAGCCACUACUGACGCUGAGGCACGAAAGCGUGGGGAGCAAACAGGAUUAGAUACCCCGGUAGUCCACGCCCUAAACUAUGAUCACUCGAUGUUGGCGAUACACUGUCAGCGUCUGAGCGAAAGCAUUAAGUGAUCCACCUGGGGAGUACGACCGCAAGGUUGAAACUCAAAGGAAUUGACGG